CAGAUUUAGCUGUUACAGAGGUGGAUGCCAUUGGUUUAGGAGAAGCAUGUGAGAUGGACCUAUAUAAGGCCCUUGUAAGGGCACACACACUGACUAUUGGGGGAGAAAUGAGGAUGUGGACAGCUUGGUGUGUGUCCUUGUGCUUCUUUGGAGCAAGAGCUGGAAUCACCCAAACCUCCAGUCUUGUGCUGAAAGAAGAUGACAAAACUACUCUGACAUGCAGUCAAAAUGAUAAUCACCCUUCUAUGUACUGGUAUCUGCAGCAGCCAGGGAAGGGGCUGCAACUGAUCUAUUAUUCCGUAGGUCCAAAUCAAGAAUUUGAGGGUGACUUCCAUAUUGGAUACAAAGCUCAACGGCCAAACCUCUCAGACUUCUCCUUGGCUAUUUUAUCUGUGAAGAUGAACUAUUCCGCUGUCUAUUUCUGUGCCAGCAGUUUGAACACAGCACUUCAAAGUCACUUCCUUUCUUUACAUAAACUUCUCCUUUCCAGCACUUUCUCUGAGAAGGAAGCUGCUCUCAGCACAGGAAGAGGGAGCUGGAAUCACCCAAACCUCCAGUCUUGUGCUGAAAGAAGAUGACAAAACUACUCUGACAUGCAGUCAAAAUGAUAAUCACGAUUUCAUGUCCUGGUAUCUGCAGCAGCCAGGGAAGGGGCUGCAACUGAUCUAUUAUUCCGUAGGUGCAAAUCAGGAAUUAGAGGGUGACUUUCACA